rnacentral:rRNA from 1 species
AGAGUUUGAUCCUGGCUCAGAUUGAACGCUGGCGGCAGGCCUAACACAUGCAAGUCGAGCGGUAGCACAGAGAGCUUGCUCUCGGGUGACGAGCGGCGGACGGGUGAGUAAUGUCUGGGAAACUGCCUGAUGGAGGGGGAUAACUACUGGAAACGGUAGCUAAUACCGCAUAACGUCGCAAGACCAAAGUGGGGGACCUUCGGGCCUCAUGCCAUCAGAUGUGCCCAGAUGGGAUUAGCUAGUAGGUGGGGUAACGGCUCACCUAGGCGACGAUCCCUAGCUGGUCUGAGAGGAUGACCAGCCACACUGGAACUGAGACACGGUCCAGACUCCUACGGGAGGCAGCAGUGGGGAAUAUUGCACAAUGGGCGCAAGCCUGAUGCAGCCAUGCCGCGUGUGUGAAGAAGGCCUUCGGGUUGUAAAGCACUUUCAGCGGGGAGGAAGGCGGUGAGGUUAAUAACCUCACCGAUUGACGUUACCCGCAGAAGAAGCACCGGCUAACUCCGUGCCAGCAGCCGCGGUAAUACGGAGGGUGCAAGCGUUAAUCGGAAUUACUGGGCGUAAAGCGCACGCAGGCGGUCUGUCAAGUCGGAUGUGAAAUCCCCGGGCUCAACCUGGGAACUGCAUUCGAAACUGGCAGGCUAGAGUCUUGUAGAGGGGGGUAGAAUUCCAGGUGUAGCGGUGAAAUGCGUAGAGAUCUGGAGGAAUACCGGUGGCGAAGGCGGCCCCCUGGACAAAGACUGACGCUCAGGUGCGAAAGCGUGGGGAGCAAACAGGAUUAGAUACCCUGGUAGUCCACGCCGUAAACGAUGUCGAUUUGGAGGUUGUGCCCUUGAGGCGUGGCUUCCGGAGCUAACGCGUUAAAUCGACCGCCUGGGGAGUACGGCCGCAAGGUUAAAACUCAAAUGAAUUGACGGGGGCCCGCACAAGCGGUGGAGCAUGUGGUUUAAUUCGAUGCAACGCGAAGAACCUUACCUGGUCUUGACAUCCACAGAACUUUCCAGAGAUGGAUUGGUGCCUUCGGGAACUGUGAGACAGGUGCUGCAUGGCUGUCGUCAGCUCGUGUUGUGAAAUGUUGGGUUAAGUCCCGCAACGAGCGCAACCCUUAUCCUUUGUUGCCAGCGGUUCGGCCGGGAACUCAAAGGAGACUGCCAGUGAUAAACUGGAGGAAGGUGGGGAUGACGUCAAGUCAUCAUGGCCCUUACGACCAGGGCUACACACGUGCUACAAUGGCAUAUACAAAGAGAAGCGACCUCGCGAGAGCAAGCGGACCUCAUAAAGUAUGUCGUAGUCCGGAUUGGAGUCUGCAACUCGACUCCAUGAAGUCGGAAUCGCUAGUAAUCGUAGAUCAGAAUGCUACGGUGAAUACGUUCCCGGGCCUUGUACACACCGCCCGUCACACCAUGGGAGUGGGUUGCAAAAGAAGUAGGUAGCUUAACCUUCGGGAGGGCGCUUACCACUUUGUGAUUCAUGACUGGGGUGAAGUCGUAACAAGGUAACC